GACGAACGCUGGCGGCGUGCUUAACACAUGCAAGUCGAGCGGUAAGGCCCUUUCGGGGGUACACGAGCGGCGAACGGGUGAGUAACACGUGGGUGACCUGCCCUCAGCUCUGGGAUAAGCCUGGGAAACUGGGUCUAAAUACCGGAUAUGACUCCAUGACGCAUGUUGUGGGGUGGAAAGCCUUGUGCGGCUGAGGAUGGGCCCGCGGCCUAUCAGCUU
rnacentral:rRNA from 1 species